CAUUAACGUGUCACUCAACAACUCUGACAAGGGUCAACAAGAACCCUAUUAAAGUUUGGGUGGCAGAGAGUGGCACACAUUCUUUUCAGGAUGAUUGAGUGAAUGUCCUGAAAUGCCUACAUAAAAAAAGACACUUGCACACUUAAACAUACAGUACAAAAAAAUUAAAGAUGAAAAAUAAUCACUAAAUGUCUGGCUGAUGCAGUGUGCUUGUUGCCAGGGCAGCAGGUCAACAAAACAAAGUCAAGCUCUGUCCACACCUUACAUCUGUGGUUAACAUUAAAGAUAGAAAUGUAGGGAUCUGUCUGCACUGUUGUCUAAUGGGUUUGAAAGGUUGGAGGAAAAUCUAACAGGAGAAGACAGGUAACCUUUGCCUUGGGAGGAUAGAAAGGUGUGGUGAGCAAUAAUCAGAUCUCUGUAAUUCUGUAUUACACCAUCAUACAGCCGUGAUGACUUUGGCUGUUAUGGGGUUUCAUCAUCAAGAACUGGAAAAGUGUACAAUAAAACAUCUCUUUGCAGUACCAGACCUAAACACAUUUGAAAGGGAUGAAUUGGAGCCCCAACUGCAAGCCAGGCCGUAUUGCCCAACAUCUCUGCCUAAACUCACUGAUGGAAGCAAAUCCCUACAGCCGUGUUUCAACACCGAAUGGAGAACCUUCAGAAAAAAAACAGAAGCUUUGAAAUGAAACAUCGGAAAAACACAUAUGCUAUCUGGGCGUCUUUAUGCAUUUGAAUAAAGUACUGUUUUUGAAACACAAAG